AUUUACUCCAGUGGCAUAUAAACUAUAACUGGAAGGAUAUAAAGAAGAUUAGAAUCUACCCUGUCCAAAGAUGACAUACAUACUUGUGAAAUUUCCUGUAUUUUU